UAAGGGUGGGCGCGACGGUGGCGUAACGACGUAGGUAAGUACUGCCCUGAGGUCUGACAUAACCCGUCGAAAGGCGGGCUAACAUCAGAUGAUAUAUAGUCACGACAUCGUGGAAAUAUCAAAUCUUCGGAGCCUUGGGAUGAGCCUGCGUCUGAUUAGGUAGUUGGCGGAGUAAUAGCCCACCAAGCCUACGAUCAGUAGCUGGUCUGAGAGGAUGAUCAGCCACACUGGAACUGAGACACGGUCCAGACUCCUACGGGAGGCAGCAGUAAGGAAUAUUGCUCAAUGGGGGAAACCCUGAAGCAGCAACGCCGCGUGAAGGAUGAAAUACUUUGUAUGUAAACUUCUGUAAGAUGGGAAAAAUAUUCUCCUCGGGAGAAUUGAUUGUACCAUCAGAGUAAGCCCCGGCUAACUACGUG
rnacentral:rRNA from 1 species